rnacentral:lncRNA from 10 species
UUUUACAGUUGUUUGUAGUAAGAGAACUCCCAUUUUCAUCAGUGGAACUGGACAACUACACUGGUCCAAUUCAGGCAAAUGGAUAGAGUUCACAGCACCAAACCAGCAGCCACAGGAAAUUAAUAUAACUGCGAAGGAAAAGAUUUCCCCUGCUCGAGUCUCCCUGCACUCCUACCCAUCUGAGAGAAACAGAACUGUUGAGUAGCUGAUGCAAUUUCAUCCAUAAUAUUGUGGAUUCACCAUUGAUUCAGCAUCUGAUCCUCAGCACUGUAUAUCUAAGAACUCAUUCUCCUUGGUUCAUCAGGCAUGAUCAGAUUAAGGAUUCAUACACACUGACCUAACUCACAGGAGAGAGUUAUAAAUCAGAACACCAAUUUAUUGCCUUGUUCAUGGAAAUAGAAACACUACAUGUGUCAGCUUACUCAGAUCAGCAGCUAAACACUGUUCAGUGUUGAUUGGGAAAUAUAAAGCCAGAAUGAAGGCAGCUGGUUCAUCUUGAUAGCAAAUGUUACCAAAUCUCAUAGUCUGGUGCCCUAAUCUCCAUGGGAUUAGAACAUGUACAUCGACCAGAGAGGUUCUCUUUCUCCUGACUAUGCUGGGACAUUCUGGCAAAUUCUGACUCAUCACUCCCUUUCUAGAAUCCUUAAAGACCAUCAUCACGCU